CCGUUUGAGCGCUGCCAGAAAUGCCUGUUUUCAAGCAUGAGCAGACAUGAGAAACAGACCCUGGGGGGCACAGGAAUUGUUGACUGAAAAGUGUGCAGCGAACGUGGCUUGGGAAAAAGAAACCAAGGGCAACAUCGCUGCAAAGCGCAGCAUGUAACAGCGCUGCAAAGUGGUGCUGUAUGGAUUUUUUUUCCCUGCCCACCCCGCUCGGAGGAUGCUGUGCACGAACAUAAGCAGGGGUCAGGCCUCCCGAGGAGUGCUGCAGGAGGAGGGGGCUAGGCCAGGACGGAGGUGCAGGGAGGCAGGCAACACCCCAAACACCCUUUUGUGUCCCCAGCUCGCAGCAGCUCCACAGCCCUCUUCCAGUGUGUCUCCAGCCCCAUGUUCUCUCCCGUGCCUGCCCUUGCCCUGUGACAAGGGACUCGUGUCCCUUCUCACAGCGACAGCCGUGGUGAAGACGUGGGCCGUGCCGGGCGUAAUGAGCACCUCCUGCUUCACCGCCAGCCCCAGGGCUGGCCAGAAGCUGUUAGCGUGGGUCAGCAGCGAGCACAAAAUUAUUUUCCCGUCUCUUUCCCUCUCUCUUCAGCUUUCUGAGCUAUUCCCCGAGCCGGUCCCUUCGCAGCCAAGCCAAGGCUCGUUCCUCCCUCACCGCAGGCGAGCGGCGCGUGGGGCUGCGAGGCCCGACCCGGCCCCGCCGCAGCCAGGAGAUGGAGCCGUCUCCCCGCCGUCGGCAGCCGUGGCCUCGCAGCACCGGGAGAGGCUCCGGCUGCCUGGGCACGGUCCCGCCGCCGCACCGGGAUGCUCGUUCCCCUGGGACACUCGCGGUUCACCUCGUGCUGUCGGCAGCAGCGUGGCCGCAGAGGGACGGAGCAUCCACACAUUUGGCCCCCCAAACGCUGUCAGCAGGCCUGGAGUCAGCCGCAAACCUUGGCUUUAGCACAAGGAGCAAGAGCUCUUUUAACGAACCUCGGCGUCUCCGGGUGCUGGGGACCCCCUCCUGUCUGCUCGCACUGCCCAGCCCCACGCAGGUGCCUGCCAGCCUCGCACAGGAGGAGCAGGGCGAUGUCCUCCUGCCUCGUGCUUUGGAGA
rnacentral:lncRNA from 1 species